AUGUCAGUUUAGAGAAAAAGCUCUUCAAAGGCCAAACUAGUUCUCAAGAAGAAAUGAUACCUUCAAGACACGCUCCAAUGGAUAUGUCACUUCCUUGGCUAUCCUACAAGGAGAAAGCAGAAGAAGAAACACCCAGGAAGCAGAUGCAGAGGAACUGCUGCUAGAGUUCCCUGGACUGGUUUCCCAGAUGUAGAAAGUUCCGAAGACCUACAGAGUAACUAUUCAGGAAGACAAAAGUCUGAAUGAGAUCUAUGAUCUUAUAGGCAACACAGAGAUUCAUCAUGAAAGAACGUCAAUAUGUACAAGUAUACAAAGUUUUAGUCUGGAUGCCCAUUUUCCGGUGACUUUCCAGAAUGUGUUGGCGCUGAUUGCUCUGGACUGACCAUACCAGGAAACCAUUCAUCUGCUUUCUGACUAUGGAUGUGAUAGACAGAACUCUGGAUAUCUUGGACCAAGAGGUAACCUAGUGCAUGGGAAGGAUGCGCUGAGGAUGCUGGAGCACUAACAGAAAGAGCGAGCAUCCUUGAAGACUCUGUGGAGCUGUCAGACAAGCUCUGCAAGGCUGACUUCUGAACUUCUCUCACAGAAGUCAAUGAUAUUUAGGGUUUUUGUUAUAUAGAGCUAUACUUAAUCCUUACUGAUACAACUUCUCUAUCAGGUGCUCCUAUACCUAAUCAAUGAGCAAUCCUAUUGAUUGACUCUAAUAGGCCCAUUCUCUCUCAAUCCAGCUAAUGCCUUUCUGUUCAGCUCUAUAUUGUAAACCUAUGCCUAGAUUAUGGCACAGGUAUUCCUAAACUGGUGUCCUGCCUAUAGUCUUGCCAUCUCUGAUCUACCUUCUAUGAUGGGUGAUCUUUGUAAAAUGUAAAUUUAAUGAUUCCAUUAAAUUUGAAAAUCUCUUCCUCAUUGUA
rnacentral:antisense_RNA from 1 species